CGGUGUUUAACUGGCGUGAUGUGGGACGUCCUACCGGUGGGCUUAGCCUCGCGAGGGGCGGCCCAACUAAUAUCCCGUCGCGGUGCUCUUUACUGAGUGUCGAGUCGGGCCGGUACGUUUACUUUGAACAAAUUAGAGUGCUUAAAGCAGGCUGUCCUCGCCUGAAUACUGCGUGCAUGGAAUAAUGGAAUAGGACCUCGGUUCUAUUUUGUUGGUUUUCGGAACCCCGAGGUAAUGAUUAAUAGGGACAGAUGGGGGCAUUCGUAUUGCGACGUUAGAGGUGAAAUUCUUGGAUCGUCGCAAGACGGACAGAAGCGAAAGCAUUUGCCAAAAAUGUUUUCAUUAAUCAAGAGCGAAAGUUAGAGGUUCGAAGGCGAUCAGAUACCGCCCUAGUUCUAACCAUAAACGAUGCCAGCUAGCGAUCCGCCGAAGUUCCUCCGAUGACUCGGCGGGCAGCUUCCGGGAAACCAAAGCUUUUGGGUUCCGGGGGAAGUAUGGGUGCAAAGCUGAAACUUAAAGGAAUUGACGGAAGGGCACCACCAGGAGUGGAGCCUGCGGCUUAAUUUGACUCAACACGGGAAACCUCACCAGGCCCAGACACCGGAAGGAUUGACAGAUUGAUAGCUCUUUCUUGAUUCGGUGGGUGGUGGUGCAUGGGCCGUUCUUAGUUGGUGGAGCGAUUUGUCUGGUUAAUUCCGAUAACGAACGAGACUCUAGCCUGCUAAAUAGGCGUACCUUAUGGUAUCGCGAAGGCCCCCGGCUUCGGCCGGUGGGUUUUUACUACCAACGUACAAACAAAUCUUCUUAGAGGGACAGGCGG
rnacentral:rRNA from 1 species